GGCCCCGCGGCGAUGACUGGGCCACCCCCUGGCCUUCCUUCUCUCAGCCCUCAGGUCCCGAGAGCCCCGGCCCAGAGCGGCCUCUGCUGGACAGUCAAGACACGAGACCCUGGGUUCAGCAAAUGUUUGCAGCGCCUUGCACUGUGCUGGGAACUAGGGAUGCAAAGAAAUGUGAGAAAAUGAAGGCACAGAGAAGACAAUGUUCUCAAGGUCGCAUAACUGGUCUUUGGAUCAACUCUUUCAACCAAUUGCCAGUUGGAAAAUCUUUGAAUUCACCUAUGACCUGGAAGCUCCUAGUUUGAGUUGUCCUGCUUUUCCGGACCAAAACAAUGUACGUCUUACAUGUAUUGACUGAUGUCUUCUGUCUCCCUAAAACAUAUGAAACCAAGUCGUGUCCUGAACUACUUUGGGCACAUGCUCUCAGGAUCUCCUGAGGCUGUGUCAUGGACAUGUCCCUAACCUUGGCAAAAUAAACUUCUAAACUGAUGAAGACUUGUCUCAAAUACCUUUUGGUUUACAGCCCUGACAAUAUUUCGGGAAGGAAGAAACUCCUUCUUGGAUGUGACGCACAUAAUGAAAUCUUCUAUUUAAACUAGUGUAAAACUUAAUUGAGUUGAUCCAGUACUAUCCAAUAGAAAUAAAUUACAAGCCAUAUAGAAAUUUAAAAAUUUCUAGUAGACACA
rnacentral:lncRNA from 10 species